rnacentral:lncRNA from 1 species
UUAUCCUUCCUCAGGGUGUGUCCCAGCCAAUUCCAUUUUUUCCCUUUUAAUUGCAAUUUCAAUUGGCUCUUGUUCUGUUUUCUUCCAGAGUUUUUGAUUUGUUAUGAUGUUGGGCCAAUAUACUUUUUUUUCGGAGGCACCUGUUUACAAAUACUUGCGACACUCAAUAUGAUACAUUAUUAUUUCCACUACUGCACUCAUGGUCUCUGCAAUACAGUGUAUACGUGCGCUUAUUUUUUCUGAUGUAAGACCUGAAUGCUCUUCUCCAGUGUCCUUUUUUAUCAGAAAGAUUCACUCAAUUUCCCUUUUAGUCCUUUUGUCUCAUAUAAAUUUUCUCCUCCUAGUGACUUUUAUCAUUUUCAUACUUUCUUCAUAUCUCUCUUUAUUUGUAUUGUUCAUUUUCUUCAUGACUUUUGGCGGCCUUCAGUAUUUUUGUCUUAAUUAUCUAAAUGGCUUAAAAGACCUGUUUUUAAUCGAAAGGUUUUACUGGUUUGUAAGUUAAGAUUGUCAAUAAUGUGUGCAAAUAUAUCGUUAAUACAUAAAUUUUGUGUACAUACAAUCGCUUCCAAAUCAUUCAAGCUAACAUUUUAUUUCAUUAAUUUUUCGAAAAUAAAAUAAAGCUAACCCCAAUCUCCAUUUGUCAGCCUUUUUUCCGCUUCUUAAGAAGUAAUCGUAACGCUUAAGAAGUAAUCUUGGUUAGCAGCCUCUUCUGAUUCACUCCUAGACAUAAACCUCUGUUUUGAGGUAUCUGGUUCCAGUUUCUCCUUACUUUUUCUUUAAUUUUGUCGAUCCAUGUUUUUUGUGAUUUUCCUAGUAGUAAAGCUUAGUUUGCCGUUUGCUAUCCAUGCCAUUCUUAUUCUUCUUGUAAUUUCCGCAGUUUAAUUUUGUUUCCCUUGCUUUAUUUUAUGCCCCAAGUACACAUACUCUUCUACAUUUUCAAUGUUUCUAUGAUCAAGAGUGCAACUAUUAGUCCUACUUUUUGUUAUAUACUUGUUUUAAUUCUAUUAACAUUUCUAUACGAAAUACUAGAAGAAUGUAGCACAAGAGGGUGUCUAUAAAACUGUACAGUAUAACAUUUUAUCUUAAAUUUUUUACGUUAUCUGGUCAAGGUGUUCUUACAAGUUACUUGUUUAAAUGGUGCAUCUCUGUAUUGUAUAACUUAACAACUGUGUUUAGUUAGUUAGUUAAAUUUAGACACGUUUUAAUAUGAUUUUUAUUUGGUUCUAUUUAGUUACUGGCAGUACAUAUACAGAGCUGCGCUAGUAAUAUUUCCUAUUAUUAGUAUUUUUACGGGAUCUUGAAAUAAGAAAAUGUGAUGUCUAGUUAUUAGUUUACUUUUAUAAGUUAUAAUAUAUCGAUGGAAAUGAUGUAAUGGAAACAUGUCUGUGUAUAUAAAAUAGAUUAUUCAUGAUUAUUAGAGACUGACUCUAUUUAAGGUUUCCAGAAAGAUUGUAGACAUUUUUGUUGAUAUACUUAUUCGUCGAUCCUAUAGCAAUAUAAUGUAGCAAAAUUGAGAAUUAAAAAUGUUUUUAACAA